ACAAGGUUUCCGUAGGUGAACCUGCGGAAGGAUCAUUGUCGAAUCCUGCAUAGCAGAACGACCCGUGAACAUGUAAUACAAUCGGGCGUCAUAGUGAUCAAGCUUUAGUUCGAGCAUUAUGGUGCCUAGUCGAUGUGUGCUCAAGAUUCCUUCGGGAUGACAGAUGUCACAUUGGCAUACUAACAAACCCCGGCACGGCAUGUGCCAAGGAAAUUAUAAUUUAAAGAAUGGGGUUUCAUGAUGUCCCGUUUUGCGGUGCUCUCAUGAAAUUUUAAUUCUUUGUAAUCACAAACGACUCUCGGCAACGGAUAUCUCGGCUCACGCAUCGAUGAAGAACGUAGCAAAAUGCGAUACUUGGUGUGAAUUGCAGAAUCCCGUGAACCAUCGAGUUUUUGAACGCAAGUUGCGCCCGAAGCCAUUUGGUUGAGGGCACGUCUGCCUGGGCGUCACGCAUCGUGUCGCCCCCUACCAUUCAUCCCUAAGUGGAUGUUUGGUGUGGGGGCGGAGAUUGGUCUCCCGUUUCAUUGACACGGUUGGCCAAAAUAGGAGUCCCCAUCGAUGGACGCACGACUAGUGGUGGUUGACAAAACCCUCGUCUUGUGUUGUGCGUCUUGAGUCGUACGGGAAGAACUCUUAAUAGACCCCAAUGUGUUGUCUUCUGAUGACGCUUCGACCGCGACCCCAGGUCAGGUGGGAUUACCCGCUGAGU
rnacentral:rRNA from 1 species